rnacentral:rRNA from 1 species
AUUGAACGCUGGCGGCAUGCCUUACACAUGCAAGUCGAACGGCAGCACGGGAGUAAUCCUGGUGGCGAGUGGCGAACGGGUGAGUAAUAUAUCGGAACGUGCCCAGUCGUGGGGGAUAACGCAGCGAAAGCUGUGCUAAUACCGCAUACGAUCUCUGGAUGAAAGCGGGGGACCGUAAGGCCUCGCGCGAUUGGAGCGGCCGAUAUCAGAUUAGCUAGUUGGUGGGGUAAAGGCCCACCAAGGCGACGAUCUGUAGCUGGUCUGAGAGGACGACCAGCCACACUGGAACUGAGACACGGUCCAGACUCCUACGGGAGGCAGCAGUGGGGAAUUUUGGACAAUGGGCGCAAGCCUGAUCCAGCAAUGCCGCGUGCAGGAUGAAGGCCUUCGGGUUGUAAACUGCUUUUGUACGGAACGAAACGGCGAGCUCUAAUAAAGUUUGCUAAUGACGGUACCGUAAGAAUAAGCACCGGCUAACUACGUGCCAGCCGCCGCCGUAA